GGGAAGGUGGCUCAGUGGUAGAGUGCUUGCCUCGCAUGCAUGAGGCCCUGGGUCAAU
rnacentral:tRNA from 1 species